UUGUAAAUAUGGCUGCCCUCGGGUCA
rnacentral:piRNA from 1 species